rnacentral:misc_RNA from 1 species
AUGUCCUCACGGCGAGCGCGAUCUUCGAUCGCUGCCUCCGGCCAGUCUUCGGAUUGGAAAAGAGGCGCCAGACGACUGGCGACGGCCUCUGGCCUGUAUGGGCGAGCGUCACUGACGUCGAGUUCGUAGAGAUCGGGCCUGUAGCUCAGUUGGUUAGAGCACACGCNUGAUAAGCGUGGG